rnacentral:rRNA from 1 species
CCUACGGGAGGCAGCAGUGAGGAAUAUUGGUCAAUGGACGCGAGUCUGAACCAGCCAUGCCGCGUGCAGGAAGACGGCUCUAUGAGUUGUAAACUGCUUUUGUACGAGGGUAAACGCAGAUACGCGUAUCUGUCUGAAAGUAUCGUACGAAUAAGGAUCGGCUAACUCCGUGCCAGCAGCCGCGGUAAUACGGAGGAUUCAAGCGUUAUCCGGAUUUAUUGGGUUUAAAGGGUGCGUAGGCGGUCGGAUAAGUUAGAGGUGAAAUCCCGCGGCUCAACUGCGGAAUUGCAUCUGAAACUGGUCGGCUUGAGAGUAGCUGAGGUAGGCGGAAUGUAUGGUGUAGCGGUGAAAUGCUUAGAGAUCAUACAGAACACCGAUUGCGAAGGCAGCUUACCAAGGUACUUCUGACGUUGAGGCACGAAAGCGCGGGGAUCAAACAGGAUUAGAUACCCGAGUAGUC